GUAGGGAAUCUUGCGCAAUGGGCGAAAGCCUGACGCAGCCAUGCCGCGUGAAUGAUGAAGGUCUUAGGAUUGUAAAAUUCUUUCACCGGGGACGAUAAUGACGGUACCCGGAGAAGAAGCCCCGGCUAACUUCGUGCCAGCAGCCGCGGUAAUACGAAGGGGGCUAGCGUUGCUCGGAAUUACUGGGCGUAAAGGGAGCGUAGGCGGAUAGUUUAGUCAGAGGUGAAAGCCCAGGGCUCAACCUUGGAAUUGCCUUUGAUACUGGCUAUCUUGAGUAUGGAAGAGGUAUGUGGAACUCCGAGUGUAGAGGUGAAAUUCGUAGAUAUUCGGAAGAACACCAGUGGCGAAGGCGACAUACUGGUCCAUUACUGAAGCUGAGGCUCGAAAGCGUGGGGAGCAAACAGGAUUAGAAACCCCAGUAGUCC
rnacentral:rRNA from 1 species